rnacentral:piRNA from 1 species
UGCACAGAAGAUGAGCAUUUUCUGUGAGU